rnacentral:rRNA from 1 species
GGACUACUCGGGUUUCUAAUCCUGUUUGCUCCCCACGCUUUCGCACCUCAGCGUCAGUCUCUGUCCAGGUGGUCGCCUUCGCCACCGGUGUUCCUCCCAAUAUCUACGAAUUUCACCUCUACACUGGGAAUUCCACCACCCUCUCCAGGACUCAAGUCUUCCAGUAUCGAAUGCACUUCUACAGUUAGGCUGUAGGAUUUCACACCCGACUUAAAAAACCGCCUACGCGCGCUUUACGCCCAGUAAUUCCGAACAACGCUUGCACCCUCUGUCUUACCGCGGCUGCUGGCAC